rnacentral:rRNA from 1 species
AGUUUGAUCCUGGCUCAGGAUGAACGCUGGCGGCGUGCUUAACCAUGCAAGUCGAACGGGGAUGCCCUUUUCGAGGUGAUUAGUUUACUAAGAGCCAAGAUGUUGGCAUCUUAGUGGCGGACGGGUGAGUAACGCGUGGGUAAUCUGCCUUAUACAGGGGGAUAACACUUAGAAAUAGGUACUAAUACCGCAUAAGCGCACGGGGCUGCAUGGCCCAGUGUGAAAAACUCCGGUGGUAUAAGAUGGACCCCGCGUCUGAUUAGCUUGUUGGCGGGGUAACGGCCCACCAAGGCGACCAUCACCACCCGGCCUGAGAGGGUGGACGGCCACAUUGGGACUGAGACCCGGCCCACACCUCCUACGGGAGGAAGCAGUGGGGAAUAUUGCACAAUGGGGGCAACCCUGAUCCAGCGACGCCGCGUGAUUGAAGAAGUAUUUCUGUAUGUAAAGCUGUCUCAUCAGGGAAGAAAGAAAUGACGGUACCUGACUAAGAAGCCCCGGCUAACUACGUGCCAGCAGCCGCGGUAAUACGUAGGGGGCAAGCGUUAUCCGGAUUUACUGGGUGUAAAGGGAGCGUAGACGGUUACGCAAGUCUGGAGUGAAAGGCGGGGGCCCAACCCCCGGACUGCUUUGGAAACUGUAUAACUGGAGUGCAGGAGAGGUAAGUGGAAUUCCUAGUGUAGCGGUGAAAUGCGUAGAUAUUAGGAGGAACACCAGUGGCGAAGGCGGCUUACUGGACUGUAACUGACGUUGAGGCUCGAAAGCGUGGGGAGCAAACAGGAUUAGAUACCCUGGUAGUCCACGCCGUAAA